rnacentral:rRNA from 1 species
UACGAAGGGGCUAGCGUUGCUCGGAAUCACUGGGCGUAAAGCGCACGUAGGCGGCUUUUAAGUCAGGGGUGAAAUCCUGGAGCUCAACUCCAGAACUGCCUUUGAUACUGAGAGCUUGAGUCGGGAGAGGUGAGUGGAACUGCGAGUGUAGAGGUGAAAUUCGUAGAUAUUCGCAAGAACACCAGUGGCGAAGGCGGCUCACUGGCCCGAUACUGACGCUGAGGCACGAAAGCGUGGGGAG